ACGGAAGGCAGCAGUGGGGGUUAUUGCACAAUGGGGGAAACCCUGAUGCAGCGACGCCGCGUGAGUGAAGAAGUAUUUCGGUAUGUAAAGCUCUAUCAGCAGGAAAGAUAAUGACGGUACCUGACUAAGAAGCACCGGCUAAAUACGUGCCAGCAGCCGCGGUAAUACGUAUGGGGCAAGCGUUAUCCGGAUUUACUGGGUGUAAAGGGAGCGCAGGUGGCUUGGCAAGCCAGAUGUGAAAGGCAGGGGCUCAACUCCUGGACUGCAUUUGGAACUGUCAAGCUAGAGUAUAGGAGAGGUAAGUGGAAUUCCUAGUGUAGCGGUGAAAUGCGUAGAUAUUAGGAGGAACACCAGUGGCGAAGGCGGCUUACUGGACGAUAACUGACGUUGAGGCUCGAAAGCGUGGGGAGCAAACAGGAUUAGAUACCCUGGUA
rnacentral:rRNA from 1 species